ensembl:lncRNA
CAGGUAUUCAUUGUCUUCUACAGUAGCGGGACAUUUGAUUUACUCUCAGCGGAAUUGACCGGAGAAGGCAUCAGGUCAUGCACUGCACUGGCCUGCACCACGAUUAGUAUAAGGCACAUUUCACGAAGCAGAACGCAGUCUUCAGAGAUAUCCACGUGAACGCUGUGAUACGCCUGACCUUCAGUCCGAAGAAGAAACCCAGACCAGUCUUAAAAGAAAGCACAAACCAAAUCCCCUGUACACAUAUACGGACUCAGAGGAUGAGCAGCCUACAAAAAAACAGUUUCCCCAGGCCCCUCGAGUGAAAAUACCAGCCCUCAUCACUCCGCAGUCUGCCCCCGAGCCCACUGAUAGCAACCAUCAUAAUGCCCCACCCAGCUUCCGGCACCUUUCGCCACUCCGGCACAAACCGACACAGCUUUGCGAUCUCGCCAGCAUGCAGAGUCUGAUGUCUUCCCUAUAGAUGAUUCCAGAGACUCUGUGAGGCCACUAUUACAAGGUGAGACGCUUUGCGUUGAUUGGUGCUGCUGGACCACACUGGAGGUGCGAGUCCGCCGUGUAAUGGUUUAUGCCAUUACAAAGGAGCUGGCCUCUGUACUCAACUGGGCAGGGAAAAAAACCAAGGACCAGACAAAGCAAAGGGCAUUUAAAGAGACAGCGCUGUGCAGAUGCAUAUUUGAUGGCCUGGCGCAGCAGGUAGGGGCGAACUCUAUGUCUGAGUUGGUCUUUGCUCAAGCAGUCCAGAAAUGGCUCAGAUAUGCUCCAGAUCGUACGGGUGGCGCGCAGGACGCACAUCAUCCAUCCCCAUCCCGGAGUAAAUAAUAAAAAGUGACGUGAAACAUAGAAAUGUAAAUAGGAAACUUUGUCUUUUAAUAAAGUAUUUUGCAAAUGAUACAUGUCUAUUGACCUUUUUUGUUUUUUUGUUUUUUUUUUCAAUAAAAAGCAACUGUACGAAAGAGGUGGAAAAUCAAUACCAUAGCUCAACAGUGUUUCAAUAUCAGAAUCUGACAUUGUUUCAAUGUCAACAGUGUUAGAAAAUAUAACGUCGAAUCAAUGUCAGGUUUCAACAUUGAUUCAACAUCAAAACCUGACGUUGUUUCAACGUUAAAAAUGGGUGC